UACGGAGGGGGCUAGCGUUGUUCGGAAUUACUGGGCGUAAAGCGCACGUAGGCGGCUUUGUAAGUUAGAGGUGAAAGCCCGGGGCUCAACUCCGGAAUUGCCUUUAAGACUGCAUCGCUAGAAUUGUGGAGAGGUAAGUGGAAUUCCGAGUGUAGAGGUGAAAUUCGUAGAUAUUCGGAAGAACCCCAGUGGCGAAGGCGACUUACUGGACACAUAUUGACGCUGAGGUGCGAAAGCGUGGGGAGCAAACAGG
rnacentral:rRNA from 1 species